CAGCCGUAAACGAUGCUCGCUAGGUGUCAGGCAUGGCGUGACUGUGUUUGGUGCCGAAGGGAAGCCGUGAAGCGAGCCACCUGGGAAGUACGGCCGCAAGGCUGAAACUUAAAGGAAUUGGCGGGGGAGUACAACAACGGGUGGAGCCUGCGGUUUAAUUGGACUCAACGCCGGAAAACUCACCAGGGGAGACAGCAAUAUGUAGGUCAAGCUGAAGACUUUACCUGAAUCGUUGAGAGGAGGUGCAUGGCGUAGACGUCU
rnacentral:rRNA from 1 species